AUUUACUGUGGCUCAGGGGAAUAGCUAGAAGUCAGAUAACAAGACAAUGGCGCAAUUGUUCAGACAUACAGGAUUUUAAAACACAAGCAGGCAUUGUUAAGAAUAAAUUGAUUCAAAAAGGAUACAAUAAACAUAAAAUUGAAAAGGAUAUUAGGUUAGCAGAAGGGAAAGAUAGGAAUUAUCUCCUUAUGAAUAAAGCUGAAAUUGUUUCAAACAAUACUUUUACAUAUUCCUUCAUGACUCAAUAUAGAUGUAGAUUUGGCAUGUUUUCUAUAAAUAUGAUAUUGUUUUAAAAGAUUGUGGUCUUUAAAGAGGUGUGAG